AAAUAUAUUUAGCAAAGCAGGUGAAAACCUGUGACGCAAAGCUAUAGGGCCUUUAAAAUGGCAGCCAGUUGCACUU
rnacentral:ncRNA from 1 species